rnacentral:tRNA from 1 species
GCCCCAGUAGCUCAAUGGACAGAGCGAUGGCCUUCGAAGCCAGCGGCUGGGGGUUCGAAUCCCUCCUGGGGCACCA